rnacentral:lncRNA from 1 species
CAUCAAAGAAGAAUUAGAAGAUUGCAUUAAAAAAAGAAAUUAACUUGAACCUAGAACAAGGAUUGCAUGAAAAAAAAUGAUAGAUUUGAUAAAAAGAAAAUUCAUUACCAAUAAAAGUGGAGAUUGGAAACCUAAUGUUUCUUCUCUUUUACAAAUAACAUAAAAAAAUUAAAACAAAAAGCUUCUCCCUCCCGUCAGAACAUAACAUUUUUUUUUCUUUUCUUCCCCCCAAGAACAGAGCAAUGCUCUGUUUUCCUUCUCAACCGAGCUCACCUCCUCCUCCUUGGACCCGCCGGCCACCACCCAAACCGAGCUCUCCUCCCCCUGCUCUUCCUUCCCUCUUCUUAUAGAUCGCCCCCACCCGGCGAUGGAUCCCAUGAUUUCGUGGAGAGGAUCAUCCGGGAUGCUCAUCCCGGCUAGCCGCGAGGUACAUGGGGUGCUGGGAUCGCGCAUGAUCUGUGGGGGAAAUGGCUGGAUCCGGAUGAAGAGCGCAGCGGGAUCGACGAGAGGAAGGGAUCACGGCUUGGAGAUGUUGAAGGUUGGAUGCGGAAAUGGAAGGAGAUGGACGCGGUGAGGAGCCGAUCACGGGAUGCUUGUAGACGCGGAUAAGGCAGACGGAGGGAGUCGAUGAUCCAUGGAGCUCGGACGCGGCGUCGAAGGCUGGGAUUCCGGAGGACGUGGAUCCGUGGGUGCAGAGGCGGAGGCUGCCGUGGGACCAUUGCUAGCAUCACGGGAGGCUUGGAUUCCAUGGGAGAGGGGGCUAGCCGCAGGAUGAUGGCGUUGAAGACGGGAGGAGGCGNNN